rnacentral:rRNA from 1 species
GUAGGUGGCAAGCGUUGUCCGGAAUUAUUGGGCGUAAAGCGCGCGCAGGCGGUUCGUUUAAGUCUGAUGUGAAAGCCCACGGCUCAACCGUGGAGGGUCAUUGGAAACUGGAGAACUUGAGUACAGAAGAGGAAAGCGGAAUUCCACGUGUAGCGGUGAAGUGCGUAGAGAUGUGGAGGAACACCAGUGGCGAAGGCGGCUUUCUGGUCUGUAACUGACGCUGAGGCGCGAAAGCGUGGGGAGCAAACAGGAUUAGAUACCCUGGUAGUCCACGCCGUAAACGAUGAGUGCUAAGUGUUAGGGGGGUUUCCGCCCCUUAGUGCUGCAGCUAACGCAUUAAGCACUCCGCCUGGGGAGUACGGCCGCAAAGGCUG